GUAUAUUUGUCGAUGUAGCUAAGCUGUGUGUUUCUCGCUCCUGGUGUUCUGAGUCAAGUCUUUCCGUCUUUCCUCUAUGGUGGCGAAGCAGAAGCAGUAGCGGCAGUAGAGCAGGAGCAGCGUCAGCGUGCAGGCGACGAGAGAGGGAGAGAGAGCGAGAGAGUGCAAAACUGCGAGACAGUGCGGCAGAUAACGAGGUGCGGCGGAGGUAGGCCUAGAAGUGAGUAAUGGGCAGGUGUCGCCUCUUAAUUCUGGUCAUCUGUUAGCUAGGGCCACACCACCACCGUUGCCAAUCGUUCGGGUGAUGCAGCGGCCCUACCUGGUAAUGCUGUGUGACGUGCUCGCCCGCACCCUUGAAAGAAGCAAUGAUCAGGCGGAGUGGCGCUAAGGAGUGGCCAAGGGUCGAGCAAGCGAGCGGAGGCGGGCAGGGCGGAAUUCGAGGUCCGACCCCGCCUGCCGUCCAUCACUCCAGCGGUUGCGUGCGGCCGUCAGGGAAGAAUGGGCGGCGGUGGAGGGUGUCACAACGGCGCAGGAGAGGCAGAAGGAGGGAAAAGUAGGGAUAGAAGGAAUGAAGAAAGGGAAUUAUAGUAGAAGCAAGAGAAAGAAGGAAAAAUAGGAAUAGA